GACGAACGCUGGCGGCGUGCUUAACACAUGCAAGUCGAACGGAAAGGCCCUGCUUUUGUGGGGUGCUCGAGUGGCGAACGGGUGAGUAACACGUGAGUAACCUGCCCUUGACUUUGGGAUAACUUCAGGAAACUGGGGCUAAUACCGGAUAGGAGCUCCUGCUGCAUGGUGGGGGUUGGAAAGUUUCGGCGGUUGGGGAUGGACCCGCGGCUUAUCAGCUUGUUGGUGGGGUAGUGGCUUACCAAGGCUUUGACGGGUAGCCGGCCUGAGAAGGUGACCGGCCACAUUGGGACUGAGAUACGGCCCAGACUCCUACGGGGGGCAGCAGUGGGGAAUAUUGCACAAUGGGCGGAAGCCUGAUGCAGCGACGCCGCGUGCGGAAUGACGGCCUUCGGGUUGUAAACCGCUUUCGCCUGUGACGAAGCGUGAGUGACGGUAAUGGGUAAAGAAGCACCGGCUAACUACGUG
rnacentral:rRNA from 1 species